CUUUACUGUAGCCUGGUAUUGGGUUCGGGCUUUGACUGCGCAGGAUAGGUGGGAGACUGAGAAGUGUGCCUUGUGGGGCACAUAGAGUCAACGGUGAGAUACCACUCUGUCAGAGCUAGAAUUCUAACCUUCACCCGUGAUCCGGGGACGGAACCGUAUCAGGUGGGCAGUUUGACUGGGGCGGUCGCCUCCUAAAAGGUAACGGAGGCGCGCAAAGGUGUUCUCAGGCUGGUUGGAAAUCAGCCGUAGAGUGUAGAAGCAGAAGGAAGCUUGACUGUGAGACUGACAAGUCAAACAGGGACGAAAGUCGGCUUUAGUGAUCCGACGGCACUGAGUGGAAGGGCCGUCGCUCAACGGAUAAAAGUUA
rnacentral:rRNA from 1 species